GAUGAACGCUGGCGGCGUGCUUAACACAUUCAAGUCGUACGGGACUCAUUUAAUUAAUCUUUCGGGAAGCGUUGGAUGAGUUUAGUGGCGGACGGGUGAGUAACGCGUGAGCAAUUUGCCUUUGUGAGUGGAAUAACACCCGGAAACAGGUGCUAAUACCGCAUAACGUAUCGAUGUCGCAUGGCAAUGAUACCAAAGAGAGAUCGCACAAAGAUGAGCUCGCGUCCGAUUAGAUAGUUGGUGAGGUAACGGCCCACCAAGUCGACGAUCGGUAGCCGGACUGAGAGGUUGAACGGCCACAUUGGAACUGAGAGACGGUCCAGACUCCUACGGGAGGCAGCAGUGGGGAAUAUUGGGCAAUGGGCGAAAGCCUGACCCAGCGACGCCGCGUGAGGGAAGAAGGUCUUCGGAUUGUAAACCUUAGUUAGCAGGGAAGAAGAAAGUGACGGUACCUGCAGAGAAAGCCAACGGCUAACUACGUGCCAGCAGCCGCGGUAAACGU
rnacentral:rRNA from 1 species